CUGUGAGCUCGAUGAGUAGGGCGGGACACGUGGUAUCCUGUCUGAAUAUGGGGGGACCAUCCUCCAAGGCUAAAUACUCCUGACUGACCGAUAGUGAACCAGUACCGUGAGGGAAAGGCGAAAAGAACCCCGGCGAGGGGAGUGAAAAAGAACCUGAAACCGUGUACGUACAAGCAGUGGGAGCACAGAGCAAUCUGUGUGACUGCGUACCUUUUGUAUAAUGGGUCAGCGACUUAUAUUCUGUAGCAAGGUUAACCGAAUAGGGGAGCCGAAGGGAAACCGAGUCUUAACUGGGCGUUAAGUUGCAGGGUAUAGACCCGAAACCCGGUGAUCUAGCCAUGGGCAGGUUGAAGGUUGGGUAACACUAACUGGAGGACCGAACCGACUAAUGUUGAAAAAUUAGCGGAUGACUUGUGGCUGGGGGUGAAAGGCCAAUCAAACCGGGAGAUAGCUGGUUCUCCCCGAAAGCUAUUUAGGUAGCGCCUCGUGAAUUCAUCUCCGGGGGUAGAGCACUGUUUCGGCAAGGGGGUCAUCCCGACUUACCAACCCGAUGCAAACUGCGAAUACCGGAGAAUGUUAUCACGGGAGACACACGGCGGGUGCUAACGUCCGUCGUGAAGAGGGAAACAACCCAGACCGCCAGCUAAGGUCCCAAAGUCAUGGUUAAGUGGGAAACGAUGUGGGAAGGCCCAGACAGCCAGGAUGUUGGCUUAGAAGCAGCCAUCAUUUAAAGAAAGCGUAAUAGCUCACUGGUCGAGUCGGCCUGCGCGGAAGAUGUAACGGGGCUAAACCAUGCACCGAAGCUGCGGCAGCGACACUAUGUGUUGUUGGGUAGGGGAGCGUUCUGUAAGCCUGUGAAGGUGUACUGUGAGGUAUGCUGGAGGUAUCAGAAGUGCGAAUGCUGACAUAAGUAACGAUAAAGCGGGUGAAAAGCCCGCUCGCCGGAAGACCAAGGGUUCCUGUCCAACGUUAAUCGGGGCAGGGUGAGUCGACCCCUAAGGCGAGGCCGAAAGGCGUAGUCGAUGGGAAACAGGUUAAUAUUCCUGUACUUGGUGUUACUGCGAAGGGGGGACGGAGAAGGCUAUGUUGGCCGGGCGACGGUUGUCCCGGUUUAAGCGUGUAGGCUGGUUUUCCAGGCAAAUCCGGAAAACUAAGGCUGAGGCGUGAUGACGAGGCACUACGGUGCUGAAGCAACAAAUGCCCUGCUUCCAGGAAAAGCCUCUAAGCAUCAGGUAACAUCAAAUCGUACCCCAAACCGACACAGGUGGUCAGGUAGAGAAUACCAAGGCGCUUGAGAGAACUCGGGUGAAGGAACUAGGCAAAAUGGUGCCGUAACUUCGGGAGAAGGCACGCUGAUAUGUAGGUGAAGUCCCUCGCGGAUGGAGCUGAAAUCAGUCGAAGAUACCAGCUGGCUGCAACUGUUUAUUAAAAACACAGCACUGUGCAAACACGAAAGUGGACGUAUACGGUGUGACGCCUGCCCGGUGCCGGAAGGUUAAUUGAUGGGGUUAGCGCAAGCGAAGCUCUUGAUCGAAGCCCCGGUAAACGGCGGCCGUAACUAUAACGGUCCUAAGGUAGCGAAAUUCCUUGUCGGGUAAGUUCCGACCUGCACGAAUGGCGUAAUGAUGGCCAGGCUGUCUCCACCCGAGACUCAGUGAAAUUGAACUCGCUGUGAAGAUGCAGUGUACCCGCGGCAAGACGGAAAGACCCCGUGAACCUUUACUAUAGCUUGACACUGAACAUUGAGCCUUGAUGUGUAGGAUAGGUGGGAGGCUU
rnacentral:rRNA from 1 species